rnacentral:rRNA from 1 species
GAUGAACGCUAGCUACAGGCUUAACACAUGCAAGUCGCAGGGUAACAUGAGGAAAGCUUGCUUUCCUUGAUGACGACUGGCGCACGGGUGAGUAACGCGUAUCCAACCUUCCCAUAACUACGGGAUAACCCGUUGAAAGACGGCCUAAUACCGUAUGAUAUCGUUUGCUGACAUCAAAUAACGAUUAAAGGUUUAGCGGUUAUGGAUGGGGAUGCGUCUGAUUAGCUUGUUGGCGGGGUAACGGCCCACCAAGGCGACGAUCAGUAGGGGUUCUGAGAGGAAGGGCCACCAGAAGGGAACUGAGACACGGACCAAACGGCUACGGGAGGCAGCAGUGUGGAAGAUUGGUCAAGGGGGGAGAGCCUGAACCAGCCAAGUAGUGUGCAGGAAGACGGCCCUAUGGGUUGUAAACUGCUGUUAUGAGGGGAUAAAGUGCGUGACGUGUCAUGCAUUGCAGGUACCACAUGAAUAAGGACCGGCUAAUUCCGUG